GCUACUCAGCACAGAAAUCACCAUGAAGGAUAUAUUUUCUCUUCUGAUCCUGAUGAAACUUGUUUCAUGUGUCAUCUGUCAGAUUACUUUGGACCAACCUGGCUCUGCAGUUGUGAAUCCAUCAGGAACCCUAAAACUUUCCUGUAAAGUCUCAGUGUCUGUAAGUAGUGAGCACUGGGCAUGGAUUUGGCAGGCUCCUGGGAAAGGACUGGUGUAUAUUGGUUAUUUAGAUAGCAGCGGGGGCUCUUACCCAGCCUCCUCAUUUCAAAGUCGAGCCACUUUCACCAGGGACACCUCAAAGAACGAAGUUUACUUACAAAUGACCAGUAUGAAAAGUGAAGACUCUGGGACAUAUUACUGUGCAAGAUACACAGUGACAGAAGGAAGUGAAAUCUGAUUUUAAAACC